ACACUCCUACGGGAGGCAGCAGUGGGGAAUUUUGGACAAUGGGCGAAAGCCUGAUCCAGCAAUGCCGCGUGAGUGAAGAAGGCCUUCGGGUUGUAAAGCUCUUUUGUCAGGGAAGAAACGGUGAGAGCUAAUAUCUCUUGCUAAUGACGGUACCUGAAGAAUAAGCACCGGCUAACUACGUGCCAGCAGCCGCGGUAAUACGUAGGGUGCAAGCGUUAAUCGGAAUUACUGGGCGUAAAGCGUGCGCAGGCGGUUUUGUAAGUCUGAUGUGAAAUCCCCGGGCUCAACCUGGGAAUUGCAUUGGAGACUGCAAGGCUAGAAUCUGGCAGAGGGGGGUAGAAUUCCACGUGUAGCAGUGAAAUGCGUAGAUAUGUGGAGGAACACCGAUGGCGAAGGCAGCCCCCUGGGUCAAGAUUGACGCUCAUGCACGAAAGCGUGGGGAGCAAACAGGAUUAGAAACCCUUGUAGUCCCAUG
rnacentral:rRNA from 1 species